AGAGUUUGAUCAUGGCUCAGAUUGAACGCUGGCGGCAGGCCUAACACAUGCAAGUCGAACGGUAACAGGAAGCAGCUUGCUGCUUCGCUGACGAGUGGCGGACGGGUGAGUAAUGUCUGGGAAACUGCCUGAUGGAGGGGGAUAACUACUGGAAACGGUGGCUAAUACCGCAUAACGUCGCAAGACCAAAGAGGGGGACCUUCGGGCCUCUUGCCAUCAGAUGUGCCCAGAUGGGAUUAGCUUGUUGGUGAGGUAACGGCUCACCAAGGCGACGAUCCCUAGCUGGUCUGAGAGGAUGACCAGCCACACUGGAACUGAGACACGGUCCAGACUCCUACGGGAGGCAGCAGUGGGGAAUAUUGCACAAUGGGCGCAAGCCUGAUGCAGCCAUGCCGCGUGUAUGAAGAAGGCCUUCGGGUUGUAAAGUACUUUCAGCGGGGAGGAAGGUGUUGUGGUUAAUAACCACAGCAAUUGACGUUACCCGCAGAAGAAGCACCGGCUAACUCCGUGCCAGCAGCCGCGGUAAUACGGAGGGUGCAAGCGUUAAUCGGAAUUACUGGGCGUAAAGCGCACGCAGGCGGUCUGUCAAGUCGGAUGUGAAAUCCCCGGGCUCAACCUGGGAACUGCAUUCGAAACUGGCAGGCUUGAGUCUUGUAGAGGGGGGUAGAAUUCCAGGUGUAGCGGUGAAAUGCGUAGAGAUCUGGAGGAAUACCGGUGGCGAAGGCGGCCCCCUGGACAAAGACUGACGCUCAGGUGCGAAAGCGUGGGGAGCAAACAGGAUUAGAUACCCUGGUAGUCCACGCCGUAAACGAUGUCUACUUGGAGGUUGUGCCCUUGAGGCGUGGCUUCCGGAGCUAACGCGUUAAGUAGACCGCCUGGGGAGUACGGCCGCAAGGUUAAAACUCAAAUGAAUUGACGGGGGCCCGCACAAGCGGUGGAGCAUGUGGUUUAAUUCGAUGCAACGCGAAGAACCUUACCUGGUCUUGACAUCCACGGAAGAAUCCAGAGAUGGAUUUGUGCCUUCGGGAACCGUGAGACAGGUGCUGCAUGGCUGUCGUCAGCUCGUGUUGUGAAAUGUUGGGUUAAGUCCCGCAACGAGCGCAACCCUUAUCCUUUGUUGCCAGCGGUCCGGCCGGGAACUCAAAGGAGACUGCCAGUGAUAAACUGGAGGAAGGUGGGGAUGACGUCAAGUCAUCAUGGCCCUUACGACCAGGGCUACACACGUGCUACAAUGGCGCAUACAAAGAGAAGCGACCUCGCGAGAGCAAGCGGACCUCAUAAAGUGCGUCGUAGUCCGGAUUGGAGUCUGCAACUCGACUCCAUGAAGUCGGAAUCGCUAGUAAUCGUGGAUCAGAAUGCCACGGUGAAUACGUUCCCGGGCCUUGUACACACCGCCCGUCACACCAUGGGAGUGGGUUGCAAAAGAAGUAGGUAGCUUAACCUUCGGGAGGGCGCUUACCACUUUGUGAUUCAUGACUGGGGUGAAGUCGUAACAAGGUAACCGUAGGGGAACCUGCGGUUGGAUCACCU
rnacentral:rRNA from 1 species